rnacentral:misc_RNA from 1 species
UUAAGUUCAGCGGGUAUCCCUACCUGAUCCGAGGUCAACCAUAGAAAAUUAGGGGUUGCUGGCCAGCGUCCGCCAGGGCUCUAUAGCGAGGAGAUUUACUACGCUCAGAGCCUGACGGCACCGCCACUGAUUUUAGAGCCCGCCGGGUGAGCGGCGGAGCCCAACACAAGCAGAGCUUGAGGGUUGUAAUGACGCUCGAA